GACGAACGCUGGCGGCGUGCUUAACACAUGCAAGUCGAACGGAAAGGCCUGCUUUCCCUUGUGGAUUGCGGGUACUCGAGUGGCGAACGGGUGAGUAACACGUGAGUGAUCUGCCCCCAACUUGGGUAUAAGCCUGGGAAACUGGGUCUAAUUCCCGAUAGGACUGCAGGGUGGUGCCUGUGGUGGAAAACGAUUUUCUAGUGGUUGGGGAUGAGCUCGCGGCCUAUCAGCUGGUUGGUGGGGUAAUGGCCUACCAAGGCGGCGACGGGUAGCCGGCCUGAGAGGGUGGACGGCCACAUUGGGACUGAGAUACGGCCCAGACUGCUACGGGAGGCAGCAGUGGGGAAUAUUGCACAAUGGGAGGAAGCCUGAUGCAGCGACGCCGCGUGGGGGAUGACGGCCUGCGGGUUGUAAACUCCUUUCGACCGCGAGGAAGCCACCUGGUUGGAAGGGUGGUGACGGUAGUGUUAGAAGAAGCACCGGCUAACUACGUG
rnacentral:rRNA from 1 species